rnacentral:rRNA from 1 species
GUGGGGAUCUUGGGCAUGGGCGAGNNCCUGACCCAGCGACGCCGCGUGAGGGAAGAAGGCCCUCGGGUCGUAAACCUCUGUCAGGAGGGAAGAAAAUGCUACAUAUUAAUAGUGUGUAGUAUUGACGGUACCUCCAGAGGAAGCGCCGGCCAACUCCGUGCCAGCAGCCGCGGUAAUACNGGAGGGCGCAAGCGUUAUUCGGAAUUACUGGGCGUAAAGCGCGCGUAGGCGGCAACGUAAGUCAGGUGUGAAAGUCCUCGGCUCACCCGGGGGAUGGCACUUGAAACUGCGUANCUUGGAGUUCUGGAGAGGNUGGCNGGAAUUCCNGGUGUAGGAGUGAAAUCCGNAGA